GGUUCUGUGGUGUAGUGGUUAUCACGUCUGUUUAACACGCAGAAGGUAGCUAGUUCGAACCUCGCCAGAACCU
rnacentral:tRNA from 1 species